AGUUUGGCUAGACUGGAGGGUUAGGGGUCCUCUGUAAGCACACACCCCCUUUGGUGCAGUUGAAGUUCAAAAGGCGGCUUUUUAAGAAAAUAUGAGCCUAGAAAAAACAGCAUAGAAACCUUGUCCUACAGGAUUAAUGGUGGUGUAGUUUUUACUGGAGGGUAAAGAUUUACAUCUUUAAUAGGGGAAUGUGUCAGGUCCGGAAGGGAGCAGCUCUACUGUUAACAAUUGAUGCUUGUAGAAUCCCAGGGUGGAGUUGAGUUUUUUAGAUUACUUAUAUUUUUGAGAUUAGUCCACUUUUGAACAUGCCAUUUU
rfam:Methanobrevibacter oralis strain DSM 7256 MBORA_contig000111, whole genome shotgun sequence.